UGCGUAGGUGGCAGUGCAAGUCAGAUGUGAAAGGCCGGGGCUCAACCCCGGAGCUGCAUUUGAAACUGCUCGGCUAGAGUACAGGAGAGGCAGGCGGAAUUCCUAGUGUAGCGGUGAAAUGCGUAGAUAUUAGGAGGAACACCAGUGGCGAAGGCGGCCUGCUGGACUGUUACUGACACUGAGGCUCGAAAGCGUGGGAGCAAACA
rnacentral:rRNA from 1 species